UUCGCAAUGCCCGAAAGGGUGACGAAGCGACGCCGCGUGUGGGAAGAAGGCCUUCGGGUUGUAAACCACUGUCGGGAGUUAAGAAAUGCAAGGAUAUGAAUAGUGUCUUUGCUUGACUAAGGCUCCGGAGGAAGCCACGGCUAACUCUGUGCCAGCAGCCGCGGUAAUACAGAGGCGGCAAGCGUUGUUCGGAAUUAUUGGGCGUAAAGGGCAGGUAGGUGGUUAAGUAAGUCUGAUGUGAAAUCCCAGAGCUCAACUCUGGAACUGCAUUGGAAACUGCUUGACUUGAGUACUGGAGAGGUGAGGGGAAUUCUCGGUGUAAGGGUGAAAUCUGUAGAUAUCGAGAGGAACACCAGUGGCGAAGGCGCCUCACUGGCCGGUUACUGACACUGAGUCUGCGAGAGCUAGGGGAGCAAACGGGAUUAGAUACCCCGGUAGUCCUAGCCGUAAACGAUGGGCACUAAGUAGAGGGGUUUU
rnacentral:rRNA from 1 species